rnacentral:rRNA from 1 species
UCACACAAGAGACCAAAUUAAUCGUACGCGGCGUAAAGAGUGGACCCAUGACUAUCACAACAAUUAAGGCCGAAAUGCAGCUGAGCUGUCAUAAGCCUAAGACGCACCUAAAACCUUCCUAAAGACGACCUUAAUCCUCGUGACCAAUUAGAUUCCACGAAAGCCAGGACACAAACUGGGAUUAGAUACCCCACUAUGCCCGGCCCUAAAUCUCGAUGCUCACCCUACUAAAGCAUCCGCCUGAGAACUACGAGCACAAACGCUUAAAACUCUAAGGACUUGGCGGUGCCCCAAACCCACCUAGAGGAGCCUGUUCUAUAAUCGACAACCCACGAUACACCCGGCCACUUCUCGCCAAAACAGCCUAUAUACCGCCGUCGCCAGCUCACCUUCCCUGAGAGUGCAACAGUGAGCACAAUAACCCUAACACCGCUAGUAAGACAGGUCAAGGUAUAGCCUAUGAAGUGGAAGAAAUGGGCUACAUUUUCUAACUUAGAAAACCCCCAACCUUAACGGAAGGGAGUGUGAAAUAACUCCCGGAAGGCGGAUUUAGCAGUAAAGCGGGAUAAUAAAGCCCCCUUUAAACCGGCCCUGAGGCACGUACAUACCGCCCGUCACCCUCCUCACAAGCUUUAGACCCCAAUAAAUAAUACGCCGCCCGCCAAAGAUGAGGUAAGUCGUAACAAGGUAAGUGUACCGG